GCGAACUGCGAAUGGCUCAUUAAAUCAGUUAUCGUUUAUUUGAUAGUACCUUACUACAUGGAUAACCGUGGUAAUUCUAGAGCUAAUACAUGCUAAAAACCCCAACUUCGGAAGAGGGUGUAUUUAUUAGAUUAAAAACCAAUGCCCUUCGGGGCAUCCUGGUGAUUCAUAAUAACUUCACGAAUCGCACGGCCUUGCGCUGGCGAUGGUUCAUUCAAAUUUCUGCCCUAUCAACUUUCGACGGCUGGGUCUUGGCCAGCCGAGGUGACAACGGGUAACGGAGGGUUAGGGCUCGACCCCGGAGUGGAGCCUGAUAAAGGGCUACCCCAUCCRAGGAAGGCAGCAGGAGCGCUAAUUACCCCAUCCCGACCCGGGGAGGUAGUAAUUAUAAAUACCGAUAUAGGGGAGGUUGGGGCCAUAAAUUUGGAAACAGGACUAUUUUAGUUCCUUAAAUAGGAAUGAUUGGAAGUUAAGUCCCGUAACGAGAACCAAUGGAAGGGCAACUCCGGAUACCGCAGCCGCAAUAUUUUCAGCUCCAAAUAGCGUAUAUUAAAGUUGUUGAGCUUAAAAAGCUCGGAGUUGCACCCUCGGGCCGUGGCUGGCCGGGUCCGCCCUUUCCGCUGUGCGCGGGUCCGGCCGGGCCCUUUUCCGUCUGUGGGGAGGCGCAUGUCCCUUUAUUUGGGUGUGUCGGGGAACCCAGGACUUUUACUCCUGAACAAAUCAGAUCGCUUUAAAGAAAGGCCUAUGCUCGAAUGCGUUAUGCAUGGAAUAAUAGAAUUAGGACGUGUGGUUCUAUUUUGUUGGUUUCUAGGACCGCCGUAAUGAUUAAUAGGGAGCAGUCGGGGGCAUCAGUAUUCAAUUGUCAGAGGUGAAAUUCUUGGAUUUAUUGAAGACAUAACUAUCUGCGAAAGCAUUUGCCAAGGAUGUUUUCAUUAAAUCAGGAGCGAAAGUUAGGGGAUCGAAGACGAUCAGAUACCGUCGUAGUCUUAACCAUAAACUAUGCCGAUUAGGGAUCGGACGGUGUUCUUUUGUGACCU
rnacentral:rRNA from 1 species